UUAGGGGUUUCUGGUUUUUCAAGAAAUGAAUUUAAUUCAUGCGUCUUAUUUAGAGUUUUAUUAUUUUUAUUAUUUAUUUUUAUUUGGCGUUAAGAUUGGGAGGGAUUAGCUUCUUAUUUUAUUUUUAUAAUUUUUUGUUUAUUUAGUCUUGUGGAUUUUAUGGUGAUUUUCAAUUUGAUUAUGUUAAAAUUUUAUUUGUUGUUUUAUUUAUUUCUGUUUUAUUUAAUUAUUUAUUGAAAUGUGUUCUUUAUCUUUAUUUUUGGUUAGUAAUUAUUGUAGAAUUAGUAAAUUUGUUGUUAGGUUGUUUUUCAUUUGUGUUAAUUUUUUUUGAGGAACUAGGCAAAUUUCAUGUCCGCCUGUUUAACAAAAACAUCUUUUCUCGUUAGUUUUUGAAGUAUGGCCUGCCCACUGACUUUUGAAUGUUGAAGGGCCGCGGUAUUUUGACCGUGCAAAGGUAGCAUAGUCAUUAGUUCUUUAAUUGUGAUCUGGUAUGAAUGGCUUGACGAGGCAUGGGCUGUCUUAAAUUUUGAAUUGUUUAUUGAAUUUGGUCUUUGAGUUAAAAUUCUUAGAUGCUUUUAUGGGACGAGAAGACCCUAUAGAGUUUAACAUUUAUUAUGGUCUCUUUCUGUUUGUGAGGGUUCACUGGGCCGUUUAAUAUGUUUUGUUGGGGUGAUGGGAGAGAUUUGUUUAA
rnacentral:rRNA from 1 species